AGUGAACGCUGGCGGUAGGCCUAACACAUGCAAGUCGAACGGCAGCACAGUAAGAGCUUGCUCUUACGGGUGGCGAGUGGCUGACGGGUGAGGAAUACAUCGGAAUCUACUUUUUCGUGGGGGAUAACGUAGGGAAACUUACGCUAAUACCGCAUACGACCUACGGGUGAAAGCAGGGGAUCUUCGCACCUUGCGCGAUUGAAUGAGCCGAUGUCGGAUUAGCUAGUUGGCGGGGUAAAGGCCCACCAAGGCGACGAUCCGUAGCUGGUCUGAGAGGAUGAUCAGCCACACUGGAACUGAGACACGGUCCAGACUCCUACGGGAGGCAGCAGUGGGGAAUAUUGGACAAUGGGCGCAAGCCUGAUCCAGCCAUACCGCGUGGGUGAAGAAGGCCUUCGGGUUGUAAAGCCCUUUUGUUGGGAAAGAAAAGCAGCAGGUUAAUACCCCGCUGUUCUGACGGUACCCAAAGAAUAAGCACCGGCUAACUUCGUG
rnacentral:rRNA from 1 species